rnacentral:rRNA from 1 species
ACGAACGCUGGCGGCGUGCUUAACACAUGCAAGUCGAACGGAAAGGCCCUGCUUGCAGGGUACUCGAGUGGCGAACGGGUGAGUAACACGUGGGUGAUCUGCCCUGCACUUCGGGAUAAGCUUGGGAAACUGGGUCUAAUACCGGAUAGGAGCCAUCUUUAGUGUGGUGGUUGGAAAGUUUUUUCGGUGUAGGAUGAGCUCGCGGCCUAUCAGCUUGUUGGUGGGGUAAUGGCCUACCAAGGCGGCGACGGGUAGCCGGCCUGAGAGGGUGUACGGCCACAUUGGGACUGAGAUACGGCCCAGACUCCUACGGGGGGCAGCAGGGGGGAAUAUUGCACAAUGGGCGCAAGCCUGAUGCAGCGACGCCGCGUGGGGGAUGAAGGCCUUCGGGUUGUAAACUCCUUUCGCUAGGGACGAAGCUUUUUUGUGACGGUACCUAGAUAAGAAGCACCGGCUAACUACGUG